GCUAUUGAGACAACAAAAAACAUGGUAUACAUUAAGAACUGCUCUUGGAAAGUGAAAAUACCUUCUAACACAAGACCAGAACCUGUUCUAGAAUCCAGUGUGUUUUCCUAUGAGAGAGGAAUGAAAUGUAUUCAUCAUCCCAUCCCCUAUCAGUCACACCUCAAAAUUAUUUUAUGAAUUAAAAGAAGUCAUCUAGGUGACCGUAGAAUAUUUGACAAAAGGAAGUAAGAGAGAAAAGAAUCCAGGGUGAAUACUGUCUCAUCCUGAGAACUCUUUCCCACAGUAGGGGAUGGUGCUUGGCAGGAGUUAGGGACAGAAAGUAGUCUCUGAGAUAAAGCCCGUGACAGAGAGAAUUGCUGAAGCAGAUUGCAUUGAACAAUUGGUCUUCUGGAACUGAAACUGUAGAGCCCCUCGGAUAUGAAUUAAGAGAUCUAAUUCUGGUACCUAGGUUUUCUUUCAAGACUAGAUCCAUGCUGAAAUUCCUAAAUUAAUACCCAGUGUUUUUUAACACUGAGUCUUUCCUAGUCUGAACAUGGACAGAGUUCUGAAAAAUUUAUGGUAGCUACCUCUUCUUUUGAAAUUCCUAUGAGAAAAAUAGAAAAACUCAAAUCCCAUAAUAUGUUUCCAUAUUGUGGUUGCUGCCUACACACGUUUGUGUUGAUUUGCUUCUUUUCUGGAGAAAAGGAAUAUGUGAAACUGGUGACUUCUCCUUCACUAACCCCAGGAGGUCGCCAGAGGAAGUCAGAUCUGUGCCUUCUCUUUUUAGGAUCUGUUCACUGAUACUUUAGUAAGUGUGCUGUGAUGAAAAUCCAUGCCUAUAGAGUCUGUAUAGAAAAUGUGAUUUUUUUAUAGAUAUAAAAUUGUGUUCUUAAUGUUAAAAAAAGUUUAUUUGUAGCUAGUGAAAUUGCCUAAUAAAGUCCUGGAACAAGUCAUGUUUAUUUUUCCAAUUUUUAUUCAUCCAUGCUUCCUUAUAGGCAACAGAAUGCAUCCCUCAAGUGAAGUAUGAUUAAGAAUAUCUUCAAAAACAUCAUCACAUCAUGAUUUCCUUUAUAAGAAAUGCUUCUGUACCAAUAAAGUGACAGUAUUGC
rnacentral:lncRNA from 1 species